rnacentral:antisense_RNA from 1 species
GUCUUUUGCUUUCUUUUUCUGCCCUCGGCCUCGCUCUUGUGCACUGGACCACAAUGCUCCGCGCCGCUUGUCAUUGGGAGGCGCCGAAGGUGGGGGUCGGCUCGGAAGGAAAAGCAAUCACAGGAAUAUAUAAAACAUCAGCAGAAAGAGGCCUUUGGAGGAAUCCAGACCAGCAUUCUCAUUUUACGGAUGAGGGACUGCGGCCCAUGGAGGUUUCCAUAGAUGAUUGGAAAAACCCAAGAGUUGGUCCUCUGUUCCAGACCCCACACAGACACAAACCUACGAGCCAAGGGAGCCAGUAUUUGGCCAUUCGUCCAUCCAUCUGCAUGUCCCAGGGAUGCACGAACAGGGAACACUUCAGCCUUUCGGCUGCCUUCAAAGAAGCAAUGAGAGAGAGAGAGAGGGUUACUUUGAUGAAUGAGCAGAUACCAGGUACUGUUUUGGGGAAACUGCUUUUCUUUGAGUCUAUAUUGGUCUGCAUAAAUAAACUAAAAUGGUUUCAAGGUUGUUUUAUGAUCUAUAUAGAAGAGAUAUUGACAAACUUCUCCUGCUUGGAAAAUAAAAGGGACACUUAGAAUUAACAAAGGGGGUUGGUAGAUUUACCAUUGAGGUUGAUGAACUUAAUAAAUCAUCU